ACUCAUACACAAUAUGUCUCGAAUAUUUACACUUAUAUACAUAGAACAUUUACAUAGCGUUAUUAAAUCAGGUUAUUUAAAUUAGUUAUUCAUUUUAUCGACGCUUUUUGUUUCUUCACGGACAUAUUUCUGGUUGUUCAAAAACAUUCAGUCAGUGGGCGGAGCUUGUGUCGAAACGUGUUCUCGUCCUCAGAUCCCUUGGCUGCGUGUCUGAAUCUCAGUUCAGGGACGUGCUUGGAAAGAUGCAUGCCGAAAUCGACGCCAGAGUCAUAAAUUUAAAUCAGCAGAGAGAGCAGCUACCAUUAGGGAGAUAUAUGCACCACUACAUCAACAUGUUUAUCAUCUGCAGGAGUCAUUCCUGGCCCCAGAGUUUUUACAGUUGGUAAAAUACUGUACUUCAAGUGAUGCAACCACGGAAGGAUUAAUGAAACUCAUCCAAACAGAGGCAGGUGCCUCUGAGUGAGACGAAGUGUGUGGAAGUGGAGCAUCACGUAACUGAAGCUCUGCUUCACAGAGGCCAGCACAUGCACGAGCUCUGCCCAUCUCCUCAGGCCCACGCUGGACCUGAUCACAUGGAUGCAAGCUUCACAUGAGAGGAACAGACUCUGCCCUAUGUGUGGGUUAAUAUCAGUUUCGUCAUAGUCCGACUCCAUCUCAAUCUUCACCUGGGGCACGGGGCAGGACAUCCCUCUGGUCAUCGGCAUCGCCGGAGAUGAUGGACAGGAGAUCUUCAGGUGCAGAGUGAUGCUGUGGAAUGGCAACUUCCAGUUACAAGAGUGAGGAGGAGAAAGAGGAGAGGGCUAUGAGAGGAAAGAGGAACAGCUGAGGAGCAGUCUGUAUUAAGAUGUUAGUUGCAGGUGACCGCACAAGUGCUCCAGGGGAAAGAUCUGGGAUAAGGACACCCAAAGCAGGAGAAAGGCAGGAUAUCAUCCAGCCAUGCCAGAUCGUGUUGAGAGAAAACCAUGUCCAACAUCUUUCGUAUCACCAUAAGACCAAGUAUCUGGGGGAAGAUGAUAGCGAGGAAGGUGGAUUUGAGGAUCCAGAGAACAGCUAAGCACACAAUCUGCAGCAGUGUGAACAGGUGGACUCUUCUCAGCGGAACGUGACGCAGAUAAGGGAAAUCUGGCUGGUGUUUUGCUGGCAUCAUAAUCAGUUUGAUCCUGUCCCAGAACUAUAAAAGACAGGAUGUUUAAUUAGAUACGCAGUGGACAAAAAAGAAAAAUCUGUCAAUAUUUACUCACUCUCAUGUCAUUUCAAACCCAAGUGUCUCUUUCCAUUUAAUAAAAGUGCUUGAGGUCCAUC